CCUACGGGUGGCAGCAGUGGGGAAUUUUGGACAAUGGUCGCAAGCCUGAUCCAGCCAUGCCGCGUGUCUGGAGAAGGCCUUCGGGUUGUAAAGGACUUUUGUCAGGGAAGAAAAGGCUGUUGCUAAUAUCGACAGCUGAUGACGGUACCUGAAGAAUAAGCACCGGCUAACUACGUGCCAGCAGCCGCGGUAAUACGUAGGGUGCGAGCGUUAAUCGGAAUUACUGGGCGUAAAGCGAGCGCAGACGGUUACUUAAGCAGGAUGUGAAAUCCCCGGGCUCAACCUGGGAACUGCGUUCUGAACUGGGUGACUAGAGUGUGUCAGAGGGAGGUAGAAUUCCACGUGUAGCAGUGAAAUGCGUAGAGAUGUGGAGGAAUACCGAUGGCGAAGGCAGCCUCCUGGGAAAACACUGACGUUCAUGCUCGAAAGCGUGGGUAGCAAACAGGAUUAGAUACCCCCGUAGUC
rnacentral:rRNA from 1 species